rnacentral:rRNA from 1 species
GGCGGGAUGCUUUACACAUGCAAGUCGAACGGCAGCAUAGAGAGCUUGCUCUCUGAUGGCGAGUGGCGAACGGGUGAGUAAUAUAUCGGAACGUGCCCAGUAAUGGGGAAUAACUAAUUGAAAGAUUAGCUAAUACCGCAUACGACCUACGGGUGAAAGCAGGGGAUCUUCGGACCUUGCGUUAUUGGAGCGGCCGAUAUCUGAUUAGCUAGUUGGUAGGGUAAAAGCCUACCAAGGCGACGAUCAGUAGCUGGUCUGAGAGGACGAUCAGCCACACUGGAACUGAGACACGGUCCAGACUCCUACGGGAGGCAGCAGUGGGGAAUUUUGGACAAUGGGGGAAACCCUGAUCCAGCCAUCCCGCGUGAGUGAAGAAGGCCUUCGGGUUGUAAAGCUCUUUCGGAAGUGAAGAAAACUUAUUUCGUAAUAUGUUAUAAGAAUGACGGUAACUUUAGAAGAAGCACCGGCUAACUACGUGCCAGCAGCCGCGGUAAUACGUAGGGUGCGAGCGUUAAUCGGAAUUACUGGGCGUAAAGCGUGCGCAGGCGGUUUUGUAAGUCAGAUGUGAAAUCCCCGAGCUUAACUUGGGAACUGCGUUUGAAACUACAAGACUAGAGUGUGUCAGAGGGGGGUAGAAUUCCACGUGUAGCAGUGAAAUGCGUAGAGAUGUGGAGGAAUAUCAAUGGCGAAGGCAGCCCCCUGGGAUAACACUGACGCUCAUGCACGAAAGCGUGGGGAGCGAACAGGAUUAGAUACCCUGGUAGUCCACGCCCUAAACGAUGUCAACUAGUUGUUGGUGGAGUAAGAUCCAUGAGUAACGUAGCUAACGCGUGAAGUUGACCGCCUGGGGAGUACGGUCGCAAGAUUAA